rnacentral:rRNA from 1 species
UACGUAGGGUGCGAGCGUUGUCCGGAAUUACUGGGCGUAAAGAGCUCGUAGGUGGUUUGUCGCGUUGUUCGUGAAAACUCACAGCUUAACUGUGGGCGUGCGGGCGAUACGGGCAGACUGGAGUACUGCAGGGGAGACUGGAAUUCCUGGUGUAGCGGUGGAAUGCGCAGAUAUCAGGAGGAACACCGGUGGCGAAGGCGGCUCUCUAGUACGGUACUGACGCUGAGGCGCGAAAGCCAGGGGAGCGAACGGG